AUGGCAGAAAGAAAAGAGCGCCUUUGUUAGCGCGUCCAGGCGAACCACGCCCACAUUAAACACCACCACUAGUGAUGUUUAAGUAAUGUAGUGCGACCCUGACCAGGACGAAGCGCGUAAUAACGAUGAACGGAGGAAUAACGUAAUAAUGAUGCGGUUUGGGACGGAGCCUUUGUGUGCGCGUGCACUCACUUUUAAAACUCACGCGCAGUCCGCGCGACAGAACUAACGGUCGCCGAGCUGAAUUUAACGUUUUAUUUACGCUUUUUUGAGGAGUUAAAGGAGGUUUUUUUGGAUGUUUUGCGGGUCCUUGUGGCUCGUUUCGUUCCUAAAUACCUAAAGAAGUCACUCCAGAGCGGCACCGUGGGUGUUCCCUAUAAGACAGACGGUGACUCAGGAUCAGCUUUCCAGGUGUGAAACGAUCCUCAUUCUAGUCCAGAAAGGGGCUGGAAUCUGAGCCGGGAUCUUCAGGAUCAAGCCGCCCAGCCGUCUCGCUUCAUUAAACAGAUCCGUACAGAGAUGGGAAGAUAUUUGAUCAUUUUGUGAGGAGUUGAGAAGUCGGGUGGAGAACUAACAUGG